rnacentral:rRNA from 1 species
GCUUACGGCCACACAGCCUGGUUCACUCCUGAUCUCGUUUGAUCUCGGAAGCUAAGAUAGGUUGGGCCUGGUUAGUACUUGUAUGGGAGACCGCCUGGGAAUACCAGGUGCUGUAAGCU